rnacentral:rRNA from 1 species
AGGGUUUGAUCCUGGCUCAGAACGAACGUUGGCGGCGUGGAUUAGGCAUGCAAGUCGAACGAGAACGGGUGAAUCCCGCAAGGGUGGAUCCCUAGUAGAGUGGCGAAAGGGUGAGUAACGCAUAAACAACCUGCCUUCCAGUGUGGGACAACGUCGGGAAACUGACGCUAAUACCGCAUACGCCGUUGUGAUCGCAUGUUCAUGACGGGAAAGGCCGGGACCGCAAGGCCGGUCACUGGAUGAGGGGUUUAUGUUCUAUCAGCUAGUUGGCGGGGUAACGGCCCACCAAGGCGAUGACGGAUAGCCGGACUGAGAGGUCGACCGGCCACACUGGGACUGAGACACUGCCCAGACUCCUACGGGAGGCUGCAGUCGAGGAUCUUCGGCAAUGCGCGAAAGCGUGACCGAGCGACGCCGCGUGAAGGAUGAAGGCCUUCGGGUCGUAAACUUCUGUCACAGGUUAAGAAUAAGGUUCACUGAAUAAGUGAGCCGAUGACUAAGGCCUGAGAGGAAGCCCUGGCUAACCUCGUGCCAGCAGCCGCGGUAAUACGAGGAGGGCUAACGUUGUUCGGAUUUACUGGGCUUAAAGGGCGCGUAGGCGGCCGUACCAGUCGGGGUUGAAAUCCCUCAGCUCAACUGAGGAAUUGGUUCCGAAACAGUGCGGCUUGAAAUCAUCAGGGGCGUGUGGAACUCCAGGUGGAGCGGUGAAAUGCGUAGAUAUCUGGAGGAACGCCGGUGGCGAAAGCGACACGCUGGGGUGUGUUUGACGCUGAGGCGCGAAAGCUAGGGGAGCAAACAGGAUUAGAUACCCUGGUAGUCCUAGCCGUAAACGAUGGAUACUAAGUAGCGGUGUCUCCGAUGGCAUCGCUGCCGAAGCAAAAGUAUUAAGUAUCCCGCCUGGGGAGUACGGUCGCAAGACUAAAACUCAAAGGAAUUGACGGGGGCUCGCACAAGCGGUGGAGGAUGUUGUUUAAUUCGAGUCAACGCGAAGAACCUUACCUGGGUUUGACAUGUACGUGGUAGGGACCCGAAAGGGCGACGACCCCGAGCAAUCGGAGAGCGUACACAGGUGCUGCAUGGCUGUCGUCAGCUCGUGCCGUGAGGUGUUGGGUUAAGUCCCGUAACGGGCGAAACCCUUGUCAGUAGUUACUAACAGGUAACGCUGAGGACUCUACUGAGACUGCCGGUGUUAAACCGGAGGAAGGUGGGGAUGACGUCAAGUCCUCAUGGCCCUUAUUACCCAGGGCUACAAACGUCCUACAAUGGCCGGUACAGAGAGAUGCAAGACCGCAAGGUGGAGCAAAUCUGCAAAAGCCGGCCCAAGUUCGGAUCGUGGGCUGAAAUUCGUCCACGUGAAGCUGGAAUCGCUAGUAAUCGCGCAUCAGCCACGGCGCGGUGAAUGUGUUCCCGAGCCUUGUACACACCGCCCGUCAAGCCAUGAAAGCCGGGGGUACCCAAAGUCGCCAGUUCAACCGCAAGGAGGACAGCGCCUAAGGUAAACUCGGUGAUUGGGACUAAGUCGUAACAAGGUA